UCGAACCCUGCAAGGCAGAACGACCCGUGAACAUGUAACCAUAACAGGGUGAAAGGGAAAUGGGCCUUGGUCCUGAUCCCCCAACCCCUCCCGACGUGCAUUUGUGGUGCCCUCUUUUGGGGCACCAAGGAUGUCCCGUCGGACCAUAACAAACCCCGGCACGGCAUGUGCCAAGGAAAACCAAAAAUGAGAAGGACACGCCCUGUAUCGCCCCGUUCGCGGUGUGCGUGCGGGYCGUGGCCUCCUUGGAAUCACAAACGACUCUCGGCAACGGAUAUCUCGGCUCACGCAUCGAUGAAGAACGUAGCAAAAUGCGAUACUUGGUGUGAAUUGCAGAAUCCCGUGAACCAUCGAGUUUUUGAACGCAAGUUGCGCCCGAAGCCAUCCGGCUGAGGGCACGCCUGCCUGGGCGUCACGCAUCGCGUCGCUCCCCACCAUACUUCCUCAUCGGGUAGUAAUGGUGUUGGGGGCGGAAAAUGGCCUCCCGUGCUUGUGUUUCGGUUGGCCUAAAUAGGAGUUCCCCUUCGGCGGACACACGACUAGUGGUGGUUGAACAGACCCUCGUCCUGUGUUGUGUGUCGUGAGCUGUGAGGGAAGCCCUCAUCAAAGACCCCAUUGUAUCGUCUAUCGACGAUGCUUCGAC
rnacentral:misc_RNA from 1 species